rnacentral:rRNA from 1 species
GAUGAACGUUGGCGGCGUGCCUAAUACAUGCAAGUCGAACGAAGACUGUAGUAAUACUGUCUUAGUGGCGAACGGGUGAGUAACGCGUGGGUGACCUGCCCCGAAGUGUGGGAUAACAGUCCGAAAGGAUUGCUAAUACUGCAUAAUAUCCAAGAGAUUAGACGCUUUUGGAUUAAAGGAGUAAUUCGCUUCGGGAGGGGCCCGCGUCCCAUCAGCUAGUUGGUAAGGUAAUGGCUUACCAAGGCGAUGACGGGUAGGGGACCUGAGAGGGUGGCCCCCCACAAUGGAACUGAAACACGGUCCAUACACCUACGGGUGGCAGCAGUAGGGAAUAUUAGUAAUGGGCGAAAGCCUGAACUAGCAACGCCGCGUGUGCGAAGAAGGCCUUCGGGUUGUAAGCACUUUUGUAGAGGAUGAGGAAGGACGGUACGUCUCAGAAUAAGUCUCGGCUAACUACGUG